rnacentral:rRNA from 1 species
UACGAAGGGGGCUAGCGUUGCUCGGAAUUACUGGGCGUAAAGGGAGCGUAGGCGGAUAGUUUAGUCAGAGGUGAAAGCCCAGGGCUCAACCUUGGAAUUGCCUUUGAUACUGGCUAUCUUGAGUACGGAAGAGGUAUGUGGAACUCCGAGUGUAGAGGUGAAAUUCGUAGAUAUUCGGAAGAACACCAGUGGCGAAGGCGACAUACUGGUCCGUUACUGACGCUGAGGCUCGAAAGCGUGGGGA